rnacentral:rRNA from 1 species
AGUGAACGCUGGCGGUAGGCCUAACACAUGCAAGUCGAACGGCAGCACAGUAAGAGCUUGCUCUUACGGGUGGCGAGUGGCGGACGGGUGAGGAAUACAUCGGAAUCUACUUUUUCGUGGGGGAUAACGUAGGGAAACUUACGCUAAUACCGCAUACGACCUACGGGUGAAAGCAGGGGUUCUUCGGACUUUUCGCGUUGGAAUGACCCGAUGCCGGAUAAGCUAGUUGGCGGGGUAAAGGCCCACCAAGGCGACGAUCCGUAGCUGGUCUGAGAGGAUGAUCAGCCACACUGGAACUGAGACACGGUCCAGACUCCUACGGGAGGCAGCAGUGGGGAAUAUUGGACAAUGGGCGCAAGCCUGAUCCAGCCAUACCGCGUGGGUGAAGAAGGCCUUCGGGUUGUAAAGCCCUUUUGUUGGGAAAGAAAAGCAGCAGGUUAAUACCCCGCUGUUCUGACGGUACCCAAAGAAUAAGCACCGGCUAACUUCGU